GAUCAAUUAGCCUUUUAAAAUGAUAAACUUGGAUUAACUAACACAACAUGCCAUUGGAACACAGGAGUGAUGGUUGCUGAUAAUGGGCCUCUGUACGCCUAUGUAGAUAUUCCAUAAAAAAUCCAGCUACAAUAGUCAUUUACAACAUUAACAAUGUCUACACUGUAUUUCUGAUCAAUUUGAUGUUAUUUUAAUGGACAAAAAAUGUGCUUUUCUUUCAAAAACACAGACAUUACUAAGUGACCCCUAAAUGAGGCUGGAUGAACUGUUUCGCUGCCAGACAAGGCUCUGCUGAUAGCCAGGUGUAGCAGUGCUCCCAUCCUGCCCUGAAAAGUGUUAUGUCCACUGACAAGGAGUAGUGACGCUGCUCAGUGACCCAAGCCUACCAGACAAGCUCACGUUGAGGCAAGCAACACUGAACCAUGCAUGAGAGUACCAGCUAUUCCGGACGACUGUGUAAUCUCGCUCUCCGUAGCCGAUCUCAGCAUUCAACACCAUAGUCCCCUCCAAGCUCAUCACCAAGCUCAGGACCCUGGGACUGAACACCUUCCUCUGCAACUGGAUCCUGGACUUCCUGACGGGCCAGCCCCAGGCGGUGAGGGUAGGCAACAACACAUCCGCCACGCUGACCAUCAAAUCAAAUUUGCACCGAAUACAACUCUUAUAGACUUUACAGUGAAAUGCUUGCUUACAAACAUUUCCCAAUGAUGCAGAGUAAACUAAAUAAAUAAUAUUAACCAACACAAGACAAAUAAAAUAAAAUACACAAGAAUGGAGCUAUAUACAGGGAGUACCAGUACCAGAUCAAUGUGGAGCUAUAUACAGGGAGUACCAGUACCAGAUCAAUGUGGAGCUAUAUACAGAGAGUACCAGUACCAGAUCAAUGUGGAGCUAUAUACAGGGAGUACCAGUACCAGAUCAAUGUGGAGCUAUAUACAGGGAGUACCAGUACCAGAUCAAUGUGGAGCUAUAUACAGAGAGUACCAGUACCAGAUCAAUGUGGAGCUAUAUACAGAGAGUACCAGUACCAGAUCAAUGUGGAGCUAUAUACAGGGAGUACCAGUAGCAGAUCAAUGUGGAGCUAUAUACAGGGAGUACCAGUUCCAGAUCAAUGUGGAGCUAUAUACAGGGAGUACCAGUACCAGAUCAAUGUGGAGCUAUAUACAGGGAGUACCAGUAGCAGAUCAAUGUGGAGCUAUAUACAGGGAGUACCAGUACCAGAUCAAUGUGGAGCUAUAUACA
rnacentral:lncRNA from 1 species